GCUACAACAUGGGUCAACUUUGAAAACAUAGACACAUUCUAAAUAUAAAGAUCAGACUAAAAGCAAAAUGAUAGAAGAGGGUAUAAACUGUUAACAUCUGGUAAGGAGUGUGAAUUGGACUCAGCAAAUGCACAUUUUAAGCAGGAAGACAUUGGAGAGAUAAGGAUUUUCUUGCAAAGGAAAGAUUUUAAAUUUCUUUCAUCCCUGAAAAUGUCCAAGAAGAGUCAAUAAAAGAUCAUAAUCUGUGGAGGAAGCCAAAGAAAGGAUUCCUGCAUUGGCAGUUCUCUUAGGCUAAGCCAAAUUCUAGGAAAGGUGGGUUGGGAAUAGAUAAUGAAAUAUCUGAAAAGCCAGGUUAAUGGCAAUGGACUUUAUUCUGUACUCCAGUGGUUCUAAACUGGACUAGGAGUAGAUUUUGGCCUCCAAGGACACUUCACAAAACCUGAAGAGUUUUAGGGUCACAACUUGGGAGGGAAAAUGCUGCUAAAUAUACUGCCACGUAUAGGACAGCACCCCACAAGUAAUUAUUGGUCCCAAGUAUAAAUAGAGUCAAGCUGGGGAAACCAAGCAGUACUCUAUGGCCCAGGCUGGAGUGCAAUGACACAAUCUUGGCUCACAGUAACCUCUGCUUCCCGGGCUCAAGCGAUCCUCCCACCUCAGCCUUCCUAGCAGCUGG